rnacentral:rRNA from 1 species
UACGUAGGGUGCAAGCGUUUAUCCGGAAUUAUUGGGCGUAAAGAGCUACGUAGGCGGUUUGUCGCGUCUGCUGUGAAAACUGGGGGCUCAACCCCCAGCCUGCAGUGGGUACGGGCAGACUAGAGUGCGGUAGGGGAGAUUGGAAUUCCUGGUGUAGCGGUGGAAUGCGCAGAUAUCAGGAGGAACACCGAUGGCGAAGGCAGAUCUCUGGGCCGUA